rnacentral:rRNA from 1 species
GCGGAGGAAAAGAAACCAACAGGGAUUGCCUCAGUAACGGCGAGUGAAGCGGCAACAGCUCAAAUUUGAAAUCUGGCCUCACGGUCCGAGUUGUAAUUUGUAGAGGAUGCUUCGAACGCGGUCCGGUCUAAGUUCCUUGGAACAGGACGUCAUAGAGGGUGAGAAUCCCGUAUGUGACCGGGUGCCUAAGUUCAUGUGAAGCUCCUUCGACGAGUCGAGUUGUUUGGGAAUGCAGCUCAAAAUGGGUGGUAAAUUUCAUCUAAAGCUAAAUAUUGGCCAGAGACCGAUAGCGCACAAGUAGAGUGAUCGAAAGAUGAAAAGCACUUUGGAAAGAGAGUUAAACAGUACGUGAAAUUGUUGAAAGGGAAGCGCUUGCAACCAGACUUGCACGCAGUCGAUCAUCCGGUGUUCUCACCGGUGCACUCGAUUGCGUUCAGGCCAGCAUCGGUUUUGGUGGUUGGAUAAAGGCCUUGGGAAUGUAGCUCCUCUCGGGGAGUGUUAUAGCCCUCGGUGCAAUGCAGCCUACCGGGACCGAGGACCGCGCUUCGGCUAGGAUGCUGGCGUAAUGGUUGUAAGCG